rnacentral:lncRNA from 10 species
GCAUAAGGCAUAAGGAAGGGAUUCAGUUUUGGCUUUCUGCAUACUGGUAGCCAGUUUUCCCAACACCAUUUAUUAAGUAGGGAAUCCUUUCCCCAUUGCUUGUUUUUUUUUUCUUUUUUUUCUUAAGCACUCAGAAUAUAUCAUCUUCCUCUAUCCUGGCUUGUAAGGCUUCUGUUGAGAAGUCUGUUUGUUGCUAGCUUUAUUGAACCUCCUUUAUAUGUGACUUGCUUGUUUUCUCUUGCUGCUUUCAGGAUCCUCUCUUUUGUCUUUGAUAUUUUACAAUUCAAUUUUAAUAUAUCUUGGUGUGGUCUUGGAAUUGGAUUAAAUCUGAUUGGACUUUUU